rnacentral:misc_RNA from 1 species
UACGUAGGCUCCAAGCGUUGUUCGGAAUUACUGGGCGUAAAGCGAGUGUAGGCGGUCCGUCAAGUCAAUCGUGAAAUCUCCUGGCUCAACUGGGAGGGUGCGAUCGAAACUGACGGACUAGAGUCUGGGAGAGGAGAGUGGAAUUCCUGGUGUAGCGGUGAAAUGCGUAGAUAUCAGGAGGAACACCGGCGGUGAAGACGGCUCUCUGGACCGAUACUGACGCUGAGACUCGAAAGCGUGGGGAGCAAACAGG